rnacentral:rRNA from 1 species
GACGAACGCUGGCGGCGUGCUUAACACAUGCAAGUCGAACGGAAAGGCCCUGCUUUUGUGGGGUGCUCGAGUGGCGAACGGGUGAGUAACACGUGAGUAACCGGCCCUUGACUUUGGGAUAACUUCAGGAAACUAGGGCUAAUACCGGAUAGGAGCUCCUGCUGCGUGGUGGGGGGUGGAAAGUUUCGGCGGUUGGGGAUGGACUCGCGGCUUAUCAGCUUGUUGGUGGGGUAGUGGCUUACCAAGGCUGUGACGGGUAGCCGGCCUGAGAGGGUGAACGGCCACAUUGGGACUGAGAUACGGCGCAGACUCCUACGGGAGGCAGCAGUGGGGAAUAUUGCACAAUGGGCGGAAGCCUGAUGCAGAAACGCCGCGUGCGGGAUGACGGCCUUCGGGUUGUAAACCGCUUUCGCCUGUGACGAAGCGUGAGUGACGGUAAUGGGUAAAGAAGCACCGGCUAACUACGUG